UGGGUUGUGGCUCAGAGGUAGAGCACUCGCCUACCAUGUGUGAGGCCCUGAGUUUGGGUUUGAUCCUCAAUACCACAU
rnacentral:tRNA from 1 species